rnacentral:rRNA from 1 species
SCCUAAUCGGGCGGUAAAUUCCGUCCAAGGCUAAAUACGGGCGAGAGACCGAUAGCAAACAAGUACCGCGAGGGAAAGAUGAAAAGGACUUUGAAAAGAGAGUCAAAGAGUGCUUGAAAUUGUCGGGAGGGAAGCGGAUGGGGGCCGGCGGUGCGUCCCGGUCGGAUGUGGAACGGUGUUGAGCCGGUCCGCCGAUCGACUCGGGACGUGGACCGACGCGGAUCGCGAUGGCGGCCCAAGCCCGGGCCUUUGUUACGCUCGUGGAGACGUCGUCGUCGCGAUCGUGGCUUGCAGCGCGCGCCUCAUGGCGUGCUUCGGCAACUGCGCGCUCCUGGCGUCGGCCUGUGGGCUCCCCAUUCGGCCCGUCUUGAAACACGGACCAAGGAGUCUGACAUGUGUGCGAGUCAACGGGCGAGUAAACCCGUAAGGCGCAAGGAAGCUGACUGGCGGGAUCCCCUUGUGGGUUGCACCGCCGACCGACCUUGAUCUUCUGAGAAGGGUUCGAGUGAGAGCAUGCCUGUCGGGACCCGAAAGAUGGUGAACUAUGCCUGAGCG